rnacentral:rRNA from 1 species
UACGUAGGGUGCAAGCGUUGUCCGGAAUUAUUGGGCGUAAAGGGUUCGUAGGUGGCCGGCUAAGUCAGACGUGAAAUCCCUCAGCUUAACUGGGGAACUGCGUCUGAGACUGAUCGGCUUGAGUGCAGGAGAGGAACGCGGAAUUCCAGGUGUAGCGGUGAAAUGCGUAGAUAUCUGGAGGAACACCGGUGGCGAAGGCGGCGUUCUGGACUGCAACUGACACUGAGGAACGAAAGCCAGGGGAGCAAACGGG